UAUUAGCGAGUCCUAACGAUGCAUACAAAUGUGCUCCGCGCUCCGUAGGCCCCUCAAGAUUUAUGGGCCUUGAGCUCUCCGAAGCUGUAAACAAGGAGAAAAAAAAGAGAAAGCGAGAGAGACUAGAGGAAAGAGAGCGAGGCCUGACUCGCCCCUCCACACUGUGGGAGAGAAGGGACUCUUAGUAGGGAGAGCUGAGGCGCCCUGAAUUUUUCUUUUUCGAACUUCGAGCCAAGCGAUAUCCAUAAAAACAAGCGAAGACCGGCCUGGAUUCCUGCUGUGUCUACCUCCUUCUCACCAGAGUUACAGAUAUCUUCCCCAAAGGUGUGAAAGGAGUCUUCCUGAACUAAAAUCUUGCCUCCAGAAAUCUCCAGGAUGCUGGGAGGGUGUGGAACUCCCUGGACUGGGGUUAAGCACUGUGGACAACCUCAGCACAACUCUGCCCACAGGACUGGGAACUGGUCCAAGGCAAACCCAUUGUCUGUUGCUGGCAGAGUUCUUGCUCAAAACGUGAGAUCCACGCAACAGCCCACCGUUGCUCUGCACGCCACUGUGGCCAUGCUGGCUUGGCCUGCAACCACCACCAAGGCUGGAGGCAACAGAGUUAGGCUGCCUCAGUGAGGAGUCGGCCGGUAGCUUCCGAGAGGGGGCCAUGCCUGGGAGCAGGGAUGAGGCACCCAGCAUCAGGUACUGUCUCUCUGGUGCUCCUUCUCCCUAAACUCCAGUCCCCUGGCUCCCCUGAUGCCCAGAUGCAUAGAAUAUAAAUCCGAUGAAGCAAGGCACAGGCUGGGGUGGAACUGCCUGUCCUGAGGGUCGCAAUGGGGAACCACCACUGAUCCAUUAGGAAAUACAGUUAAAUCCAUCAGCGCAAGACAGGCCGGCUGGAGGGAAGGCUUUAUGCCUUAGCCCUGCUUCAAGAUCAGGUGUGUUGUUCAAAAACAUUAAUAGUUAAAACAUGCUUUUUUUUUUUUUAGAUAAAAAGCUCACUUUUGUUGCAGAAAUGUCUUCUAAUUGUAUUGUUUCAUACAUUUAAUUUUUUAAGGGUGUAAUUUUUUUUUCCUUUUUGGUUCUGCAAAAUAGGUUGUUCUCAGCCAUUAUCAAUGAAUGGAAAGAGAUGGGUAGAUUUAGUGUUUACCCAUUAGUAAAGGGCCAGCCUUCCCCUCUCCCACCAAAGCUCAGAGUAGGGGAGGGCUCUCUGUGACUUCCCUUUUUUUCUUAAAGCUCCUUAAAGUCACCUACUUUAAGCUAAAGUGACUAAAGUCAUGUGCUGAGCGCCGCCUGGAAUGGUCCUGGAUCCCAUUUCAAAGCUGCAAGCCUCUCUCAACCCAACCCUCAACCCUGGGUUGCUAGAGUCCUGUGGAAGGCUAGCUUCUCCUAAAGGAGUGUGGGGAGGGAGGAUGAGGGCUGCCACGUUUGUCUGGGCUCCCAGGAUGGAGCAGUGCAAACGUUAGAGUGAGUGUGAGCUCACUGCACACAGCAGAACCCUGAGGAUCUGAUAAGGGUUGUCAAUAAGGAUUGCCCCAGCCUCAAGGCCAGAUGCCAAGAAACAGUGGUCCUAUUAUUGAAUCCAGAGAGUCCUGGGUCCCUCUACCUGGGUUGAAGUGGCUAUUAACUGUUUCUGGGUCCCAGAACUCUUUAGGAAACUGACUAAAUUGUCUUUCCCACUAGUAAAUGCACAUGCACACAGCAUCUUUGCAUCUUAGGAGCUGAAACCUCUGGGUUGGGAAUGCUCCCUAGUUAGUAAGGUUUUCUUCCUUUCUGUAACUCCUCCACUGCCUGCCUCUGCUUGUGUGUAUGUGUAGGGGGUGUCAACAAGUCCUUCCCUGAGUGUAGCCUGUCAUAGUUUUCACCAGAGCAGGCGCCUGGCAGAGGCCUUGCAGGUUUCUGUGGAGCCGAGGACUGGCCUACAUGGUCCAAUUACUCAACUGAUUCCUGAGGUGGAGGAGCGCCUUGGGGGAUUGGCAGUAGUGGAGGCCUAGCUGUAGGGAAACCAAUUCCCAUCUCUAGUGGAAACUCCGAUGCCAGGGGCAAGUCUCAAUUGCUAUAAUAAUAGUCAUAAUAAUAACAAUAAUAAUUUAUUUAGCAUAUCAUUAGAUGUGUAUUUACUGUUUUCCCUCUGCUUUUUCACAAGUGUCUCCUAAGGAAUUCUCACAACACCCAGGGGAACCAAUAAUAAGCUAAUUACCACCCUUCAGCUCCUUCCCAUUCCAUCCACAAAGUUUCCCUCCCAGAGCAUUUACAGAACUCCCUCUUGUGUUGUAUACCUGCCUAACACAUUCUCUCCUGUUCCCAUUUCCUCUCUCCUAUUCCUGGAGUCAUCCCACAAGUCUGGAGACAGGGUGAGGAAGGAGAAUGGCCAGGCCCAGAGACGUCCACUCUGCUUUUUUUUUUUUUUUUUUUGUCUUUCUUUCUGUUAUUGAGACAGUGUUUGGGAGAAAAAGUAAUUCCGUACGCCUCUGGCUGCUCCUUUGGGAGGGAAGGCUUGUGCUGUUAUGAUGUGAAGGGGAAGGUAGGAGCUACAGCUAGUCCUGCAAAGGAAACGGCCACUAAGAACAUUCCAGGAGUUCAAGUCAGAUCUCAGACCUGCCAGAGCCCGCACACCUUUUGGUCUCUUCUGGGAAGGAAGGAAAGAGGAGAGGGAAGAAGAAAGCAGGAGGGAGGGAAGAGAGAGAAUGUGUGUGUGUGUGUGUGUGUGGUGUAUUUCCUUGCUAUGAAUAUAACAUAAAUAUUUUUCCUGACUAGAUAAUCACAAAAAUGGCUCUCCUCUCAUGAUGCUGAGGACCAAACCCAGCUUCUCAUAUGUGCUAGACAAGUACUUUUCCACUGGGCUCUGCCUCCUGGUUAUACUUUUAGAAUAUUACUUUCUUCAGGGUAUGGUGGUGGCUCAUAUUUCUAAUCCUGGCACUCAGAAGGCUGAGGCAGGAGGACCAUCAAGGUUUAAGGCCAGCAUGGCUACAAAGCGGGACCUUGUCUCAGCAAUGCCCUCCCACAA